GUGCCAGCCGCCGCGGUAAUACGUAGGUGGCAAGCGUUGUCCGGAUUUACUGGGCGUAAAGCGCGCGUAGGUGGUUCGGAAAGUCCGGGGUGAAAUCUUGCGGCUCAACUGCAAGCGGUCCCUGGAUACUUCCGGGCUUGAGGUGGGCAGAGGAAGGUGGAAUUCCCGGUGUAGUGGUGAAAUGCGUAGAUAUCGGGAGGAACACCAGUGGCGAAGGCGGCCUUCUGGGCCUUACCUGACGCUGAGGCGCGAAAGCGUGGGGAGCAAACCGGAUUAGAUACCCGUGUAGUCC
rnacentral:rRNA from 1 species